rnacentral:rRNA from 1 species
CGCCCGCCGCGCCCCGCGCCCGUCCCGCCGCCCCCGCCCGCUCCUACGGGAGGCAGCAGUAGGGAAUUUUCGUCAAUGGGCGCAAGCCUGAACGAGCAAUGCCGCGUGAACGAGGAAGGUCUUCGGAUCGUAAAGUUCUGUUGAGAGGGAAAAAGGGUCACCAGAGGAAAUGCUGGUGAAGUGAUAUUACCUUUCGAGGAAGUCACGGCUAACUACGUGCCAGCAGCCGCGGUAAUACA